rnacentral:rRNA from 1 species
UACAGAGGGUGCGAGCGUUAAUCGGAUUUACUGGGCGUAAAGGGCGCGUAGGCGGUUAAAUGAGUGUGAUGUGAAAGCCCAGGGCUUAACCUUGGAAGUGCAUCGCAAACGAUUUAGCUAGAGUAUAUGAGAGGGUGGUGGAAUUUCCGGUGUAGCGGUGAAAUGCGUAGAGAUCGGAAGGAACGUCAAUGGCGAAGGCAGCCACCUGGCAUAAUACUGACGCUGAGGCGCGAAAGCGUGGGGAGCAAACAGG